rnacentral:rRNA from 1 species
GAUGAACGCUGGCGGUGUGCCUAAUACAUGCAAGUCGAGCGAACAGACGAGGAGCUUGCUCCUCUGACGUUAGCGGCGGACGGGCGAGUAACACGUGGAUAACCUACUUAUAAGACUGGGAUAACUUCGGGAAACAGGAGCUACUACCGGAUCAUAUAUUCAACCGCAUGGUUCAAUAGUGAAAGACGGCUUUGCUGUCACUUAUAGACGGAUCCGCGCCGCAUUAGCUAGUUGGUAAGGUAACGGCUUACCAAGGCGACGAUGCGUAGCCGACCUGAGAGGAUGAUCAGCCACACUGGAACUGAGACACGGUCCAGACUCCUACGGGAGGCAGCAGUAGGGAAUCUUGCGCAAUGGGCGAAAGCCUGACGGAGCAACACCGCGUGAGUGAUGAAGGUCUUCGGGUCGUAAAACUCUGUUAUUAGGGAAGAACAAAUGUAUAAGUAACUAUGCACGUCUUGACGGUACCUAAUCAGAAAGCCACGGCUAACUACGUG